GAGCAUCUGUAGAAGUAUUUGACAAAGUGGAUGUCCAUGGUGCUGAUUCUGGAUCUGUCCCAGGUCUGAAUCCUGUUUGUUGAAACUGACAGCCAAUAACAAGCCUUUAAUCAUUUGGUAUUUUCAAAAACACAAUUUGUCAGUGGUCGUAGCAGCACUUAUGUGUUUCAGAUUUACCACUACUAAAGACCGUCUGUCUGUCGAGUCUGUUGGCAACAAAUCUUCAGAGACUGCACAGGAGAUGAUGUCUCUGGGAUAAAACUGAUGUUUAUAAGAAGAUGUCUCCACGCUUUCCAUUUUCUGUCCAUUCUUGAACCAGACGUAGGAAGGACGAUCAGGUAGACGACAGCUGCUGUGACAAAGCAGCUCUGCCUCAGUAUAAUUCUUGUAGACUGUUGAUCUGAUCACCUGAACCUGGAG